rnacentral:rRNA from 1 species
UACGGAGGGUGCAAGCGUUGUCCGGAUUUAUUGGGUUUAAAGGGUGCGUAGGUGGCCUUAUAAGUCAGUGGUGAAAGCCCUGCAGCUUAACUGUAGGACUGCCAUUGAUACUGUAGGGCUUGAGUACUGAUGAGGUAGGCGGAAUUGAUAGUGAGCGGUGAAAUGCAUAGAUAUUAUCAAGAACACCGAUUGCGAAGGCAGCUUACUAAGGAGUUAACUGACACUGAGGCACGAAAGCGUGGGGAUCAAACAGG